GGCGGGGCCGGGCCGGGCACGUGACCCGCCGGCUGCUGGUGCCCCGGACCCCGGCCCCAGAGUCGGCUCACGCCUGUUAAGCCUCAAAGGACAUCUCCUGAAGAGUUGCCAUGUCUGGGAAUCCUGCCUCUUCCUCAGAACAGAACAACAAUAGCUAUGAAACCAAAGCAAAUCUCCGAUUGUCAGAGAAGAAAUGUUCAUGGGCAUCUUACAUGACAAACUCUCCAACCCUCAUCGUUAUGAUUGGCUUACCAGCCCGUGGCAAAACCUACGUGUCCAAGAAGCUUACACGCUACCUCAACUGGAUUGGCGUGCCCACCAAAGUGUUUAAUCUUGGGGUGUAUCGGCGGCAAGCAGUCAAGUCCUAUAAGUCCUAUGACUUCUUCCGGCACGACAACGAGGAGGCCAUGAAGAUUCGCAAACAGUGUGCCCUGGUGGCGCUGGAAGACGUGAAGGCGUAUCUCACGGAGGAGAGCGGGCAGAUUGCGGUGUUUGAUGCCACCAAUACCACUCGGGAGAGGAGGGACUUGAUUUUGAACUUUGCCGAGGAGAAUUCCUUCAAGGUGUUCUUUGUGGAGUCCGUCUGCGAUGAUCCUGACGUCAUUGCUGCUAACAUCCUGGAGGUGAAGGUGUCGAGUCCUGACUACCCUGAAAGGAACAGGGAGAAUGUGAUGGAUGACUUCCUGAAGAGGAUCGAGUGCUACAAAGUCACCUAUCAGCCCCUCGACCCAGACAGCCAUGACAAGGAUCUUUCUUUCAUCAAGGUGAUAAACGUGGGCCAGCGAUUUCUUGUGAACAAAGUCCAGGACUACAUCCAGAGCAAGAUCGUCUACUACCUCAUGAAUAUCCACGUCCACCCUCGUACCAUCUACCUCUGCCGGCACGGCGAGAGCGAGUUCAACCUCAUGGGGAAGAUUGGGGGCGACUCAGGCCUCUCGGCGCGAGGGAAGCAGUUUGCCCAGGCUCUAAGGAAGUUCCUGGAGGAACAGGAGAUAGCAGACCUCAAAGUGUGGACAAGCCAGUUGAAGAGGACGAUCCAGACCGCUGAAUCUCUGGGGGUGACCUACGAGCAGUGGAAGAUUCUGAACGAGAUUGAUGCUGGCGUGUGCGAGGAGAUGACUUACGCAGAGAUUCAGGAGCGGUACCCGGACGAGUUUGCGCUUCGAGAUGAAGAGAAAUAUCUGUACCGAUAUCCUGGAGGGGAGUCGUACCAGGACCUGGUGCAGCGGUUGGAGCCGGUCAUCAUGGAGCUGGAGCGCCAGGGCAACGUCCUCGUCAUCUCCCACCAGGCUGUCAUGCGCUGCCUCCUGGCCUACUUCUUGGACAAGGGCGCAGAUGAGCUGCCGUACCUGAGGUGUCCUCUGCACACCAUCUUCAGACUUACUCCUGUGGCCUACGGGUGCAAAGUGGAAACAAUUAAACUCAACGUGGAGGCUGUGAACACUCACCGUGACAAGCCAACUAACAACUUUCCCAAGAGCCAAACCCCUGUAAGGAUGAGAAGGAACAGCUUUACGCCUCUGUCCAGUUCGAAUACAAUCAGGCGUCCAAGAAAUUACAGUGUUGGGAGCCGGCCCCUCCAGCCCCUCAGCCCGCUCCGUGCCCUGGACACGCAAGAAGGGGCCGACCAGCCGAAGACCCAAGUCAGCAUUCCGGUGGUGUAACCGUGUGUCUCCCUCCCAUCCUGGCCCCCUGCCCUUGUCACUAAUCUCCGAGGAGUCGUGUCACCUCCAGCCCCCAUGCCCCCUCCCGGCCCCACACCGUGAAUCUCAGCCAAGAACGCGAGGUCACGUGUUUCCAGACCAACCUUAGCUAGUCCGCGGUGUGAGCUGUCUCCCUGCCCGGGGGCAAGCUGGCGAGCUGGGUGUUUCAGGACAGGUUGGGGCGGUUUGGAGGAGGAGGAGAAGGGCUCCCCUCUCCUGGGGUGACUGGCACAGCUGGGGCUGAGGCUGAGCAUGCCAUGCUCCUGUCCGUCCACGGUGUCUGUAAACUCAGUCACGUCCUUGUGCUGGUGGAGGUGGGGCGGGGUGGAGGGGACCCGGAAGCCCCUGUCCCCUCCGCCUUUGUCUCCCCGAGGUGUGCCCCCUCCCCGUCUGUGCCCGCCUGCUCUCUUCCCCGUCUCACGUCCCCUUUGGGUUGUCCGGUGUGGUGCGUUCCUCGUGUGUGUCUGCUGAGGACGGGAGGGGUGGUGGGUGCGAGGGGAGUCCGGCCCCUGUUGCGUUCUCUGCAGUGGGCCUCGGUGGAUCUGGCCUGGGGGAGCCUUCCUUUUCCCUUCUCCCUUCCUCUGAAGUCAGGUCCUGCGGGGGUCAGCCCAGGCCUGACAGAACAUCCACAGAUUCUCUGAAGCCUGCAGGGAGACACAGGAUGAGAAUUCUUGUCCCCUUUCAUGGGAAACAGUCUUGAAGGCUCCAGUGCCCUGAGGGAGGCUGGCUCUCAGUCUGUGAGAAGUGCCUUGGUUUGUCCUUUUCAGACGUAGGUUUCCAGGCUGCAGCGGGGUGAGGUGUGGGCGAGCAGGCUGCUGUCUAGCUCUUGUAGGGCCCUCGGAGGGCAGGCAUCUCUUUUCUCCAGUGGCUCCCAGCUUCUCUGCCAACCACAGGAACUUCCCUGCCAAAGCCCGUGACCUCUGUCUGGGACUGUUCGGAAGGACAGAGUUAGAUUCAGGAGUCAUUGCUGAGGUUUGAAUUGCUCAAGGGAAAGGCAGAGAAGGGUUCAUGCUGUUUCCUAGUAACAUUCAACACUAUUCCUUUAUUUAACUUAAAAAGGAAUAUUCAAUAUUGAAUAUUGGUUUUUAAGUUAAAAAAUUUUUUAUAUGAACAAAUUUUUCCCCAAAUGUUGUGAAAACCUAGUGUUAAAUUUAAUCUCCCUCACUAAAGGUACUGUUCUAUUUCAUCUUGAUGUCCAGAGGAGUCUUGGAAUCCAGUGGGAUCUAGCUCUUAACUAUUUACUUGUAUCAUUUUAUCUUCUCUGCAGAGUUAACCUGGAAAUGCUUAGAGUAGCGAUUCUUAGCUCCUUGGUGGCCCUCGAUGGCAUACCCCCCCCCACCAAUUUUGAACACAAAAUAUAUGAAUACAUGUAUCUGCAUUUUUCUGAGAGGCAAGUCUAGGUUUCUCAUGAGAUUUUUAAGAGAGAGAGGGCUCCCCACCUCAGAGUUAUCAAUCUGUCUCUUAGAGGUAACCAGUAGUUAGCUAGUGGUUAGUUAGUAGCUAACUAACCAAAUAGCCAUUUGCCAGGGAUGUUUUUAUUUGGUAAUAGGAGACCUUUGAUAGCAUCACCAACUCAAUGGACAUGAAUUUGUGCAAACUCCAGGACACGGUGAAGGACAGGGAAACCUGUUAUGCUGAAGUCCCUGGGGUCGCAGUCGGACAUGCCUGAGCGAGUGGACAGCAAGAGACCUUUUGUUGUGCUUCUCAUCUCGGAGUAUUCGUGAGAGUCCCUCACAGAACCCGUGAGACGCACUCCCGCCUAGAUCCACUCUAGGCUUAAUUCUGACUCUGUCUCAAGGUCUAGGGUCUUUAAAUAGCUUCCCUGAUGAUUCUGAAUCACACUCCAAGUCAGAACUCCAUUUUAUGAUGUUGGUUGGAGAAACACUGGGGCCAUAGUUCCUUGGACAAAGCGUCAGCCGAGGAAUUCUGAAUUUCUCAUAGUUCUGAAAGAACAGUUCCCUGGAGUUAGCUGUGUGAGCUGAUCACAGUAAUAAAUGAAGUCACCCCUUCAUUGUUACUUCAGGCAGCAGCCUGUUCAGCUUUUACCCUUUACAUCGCAGGGCGAUGUGGAACAGAUCUCUGCAUCAUAUAGGUGACCUAUGAUAGCAGCUGAGAGCUUUAAGCACACUGGAGAGAAGUACUGAGAUGAAACGUGGGAUGAUAAGGCUUAUCAUCACAGGCAGCUGGCUUGUGACCUUGAGUCCUUUAUUCCUACAUCCUAAGUAGGUCGGACAUCACAGCCAGUUUUCAAAGGUCACUUGCCUAGAUUCUGCUCGAGAUUGCCUUUCGGACAUAAGGCAGAGACCUCGCGGGCCGCGCACAGGCUCCCAUCUCCGGCGCCCCCUGCGUCGCCCUCCUGAUGGUGUGGAGGCUGAGGCCAGACGGCUCCCGGAGACUGGGGUCUGCUGAAGACCUGGGCAUGUCAGCUCCACUGGGGCUGGAGCAGGAAGCUCCGUGGGGCGUGGACAUUCGGGGCCGCCCGAGUGAGCCUGGAAAAGCUGCCCCGCAUUUCUUCCCUCAUGCCUAAUGGAAACGUCAGUCACCCUGAAACGCUCGGCUUCCCUAUGCCUGCAAACAUUCCACAGCCUGAGCUGAUGCGUUUUGAUCAUCUCUCUGCUGGGUUUGGCCCAUGUUGGCCAAUCCUGUUCUGUUUCAGCAGUUUAACAUCUGACCAGUGACUGUCCCCCUGGCUGGAUAUUCUUUGCCUAAUGUACAGAUGCAGCGCUUCAGAUUUAGUUGUUUCCACCAGAGAGGGCUGACCCGCACACCUUUUCUGUGCUAUAAGAGCUGGGCUCUGCAUCCAGUCCCGGUGCACAGGCUAGAGUGUAAUAGGUCGUUUAUUCCGUCACAUCGGAAGCAAGAGGCAAAUUCACCAGGUGGAUGGAGGGUAUCUGAGAAAUCUAGUCCCCAAAAGAUCUCUUCUGUGGCGAUAGAAGAGCAGCAUCAGGAGCCACCUUUUCAUCUAGAGAAAUUGUUCUCGUUCCAGGCCCCUUGAGGGCAGGAUCUGACUGCAAGACUCCCCGAAAUGGGUGCCCUUCUUCUGAGUUCUGUUCUGGAGCAGUUGUGCUCUCUACCGAUACUGAUACUGUGUGCCUCUCGAAGUUUAAGAGGGCUGAAGUCAUCUCUUUGGUGGUUAGGAAUGCGGGAUGGAGAGAAAAAUAGGGUGCCAUUUGGAUCACCUGCAGAAGUAAAUGAAGUUUCCUUGGGCAUCACCUCUCCCAGGGAGUUGUUUCAGUGUCGAGACAGGUGCAGGGAGACCUGCCCUUUAGUGAGGUCUGCUGCCGUGAUACAGUAGCUAAGAAAGCUGUGGCUGUGACUUCAAGAGCAUCUGGCCUUCUAAUCCCUUCCUCUUGGCUAGUUGUCACCCUUGUAGUCUACUGGUCUCUCAUGUAGAACCUUGGUUGCCCACUUCCCCACCUCAGUGCAUUAAUCGUGUGGUUUCCCUUGAAGAUCAACCAAGUAAUUAUUCCCUAGAUCAGUGAUUGUCAGAUGUACAAAUAUGUCUCUGUAGAUGAGAUUUUAAUCUGCCGCUGUUCCUGAAAGAGGAUAUGGAAGUUCCCAAGGAUACUAUAUCAUACAAGCAAAAUAUUUUUUUUUUUUUGGUAAGAAUAGUAGGUUUCUAGCUUUUAAAACUUUCCCCCCCUUUUCAUUCAGAUGGCCCACUUGCUGCGCAAGAGGGUGAGUAGCAAGAAAAGUAAUGCAAUACAGCUUUUCCCAAAUGGUUCUUUAAUACUGUGGAUGAUACAGGGCUCUGUUAUCUAAGGUGUGAUGUGCUGGGCUGCUGGCAGUUCAGCAACCAGCAACUAGGACCUUAUUUUAAUGCACAAGGCUGCCUUCAGAAAGGUCUCCUGACUCUGCUCUGUAGCAGGUAAUUUUUAUCUGUCUGCUCAUAGCAUGUUGUACUGUAUGAUUUUGUUCUGUGAUGCAGAUUUCUUUCUGCAUCUAAAUAUAUUGUCUUUUGAUGAUCUGAUAAUGUUAUUUAGUUAUUUAUUCAUCCACAUAAGGUAUUUUAAAUCCCCAUAUUAAUGUCUGCUUGUAUGUACCGUUAUUGUGUUCAGUUUUUUUUUUUUGGUAGAAAUUUAGGUAGUUUGAGUAUUUAAGUUUAAUGUCCAUAGUAUUACCUUAAAUUAAAAUUUCAGAAUGUAGUAUCUGUCUUCUGGAAAAGGAUAAUAAAUAUGUUAAGGCACAGUGGGUUUCUUUUGAAUACUUUUUUUCCAUUGAUUUUUAUUAUAAGUAUAAACCAAGAGAUGCAUUUCUCUGGAGAAAAGUUUAUCUCCUGGAUAAAUAAAAUCAUGCUAAAAUUUUUGAGUAA